rnacentral:rRNA from 1 species
UACGUAGGGACCAAGCGUUGUUCGGAUUUACUGGGCGUAAAGGGCGCGUAGGCGGCGUGUUAAGUCACUUGUGAAAUCUCCGGGCUUAACCCGGAGCGGUCAAGUGAUACUGUCGUGCUAGAGUGCGGAAGGGGCUACUGGAAUUCUCGGUGUAGCGGUGAAAUGCGUAGAUAUCGUAAGGAAGGCCGGUGGCGAAAGCGAGCCUCUGGACAGUUACUGACGCUGAUGCACGAAGGCCAGGGGAGCAAACGGG